UGGCUCAGACGGUAAAGCGGCUGCCUGCAAUGCGGGAGGCCCAGGUUCAAUUCCUGG
rnacentral:tRNA from 1 species